GCCUUCCUUUAUUGGAUUAGGCAUAAAUAGCAGAUAAUCUAAGAGUUUGUCAAACUCACUCUUUUAGAAUCCACCAUUUAUAUGUAUAAUAUCAAGUCAUGUUUUCAAGAUCUCAGCUAUCUGGGGGUAUUGGCCCCUUCUAGGGGAGAUGUGAGAUUCAAGUGUCCGGUGGUAUCUACUAAAAGCCCAUUUUAAGAAGAGUGAUCAUGAGCUAAUAGUGUAAUAAAAAUUGCAUUCUAUCUAAAGUGACCUAUGUACAUGCCACCAUAAGUUAUGGACUGUCCAUCUGGGAUUUAAAACAAGAACCUUGGCUUUUUUUUUCCUUAACCAUUUUUCUGUUUGUGUAACACGGUGUCUGGCACAUAGUGGGCACUUAAAGCUGGUUUGGACUUGCAUUCAAUAGUUUUGAUGAACAUGAUCCUAAAGUUUUAAGGUCCAUGAGUGUUGGGAGGUAGGGAGAGACAAGAAUAAACUUUUUAUUUCCCUGAGAAAAUCAUACGUUAUGUAAUAAUUUUAGAGUGAUGAAGACAUAGAUAUUUUUAUAAUUUUAAGAUACGUUAUCCUGCCAGAAUAUGAGAAGAUUGACAGAACCAGUUUGCUUGCUCUCUAUUUAUAGAACUUGGCCACAUCUAAUUCAGAGAAGCUGGAGAUUCAGGGACGCUAGACUUAGAUGGCUGAGUAAUAUGGGAUGUGGUUCAAGGACCAUAGAGCGUGUCAAGCCAUUACUGCAAACUACUUACAACAAAGGAAAUGUGAUCUAUUGCUAACUUCGUGUUCCCACCAUGGAGAGGUGAGGAUAAACAUUUUUGCCGUGGCCUGUCAGAUUCCCUUAACCUUGGGUCAGUCUCUUGACAAUGGCCAUCGAGAGAGCACGUGGAGUGCCCCUUGCCCUGCCCUGCCUUGGCCUGCCGUGGAAAAACAGUCUUUGAAGAAUCACUGUCUAAGGGUAAGAUGAGAGCUCCCUGAACUAUUCUGAGCUGGAGUGUUUGCUGAUACAAAGCUAAAUUUAGCCAACAUGUGUCCAGUGUGGUCAGAGGUUUGAUUCAUUGAACAUUCUGACUGAUGGAGACCAAGAAUGCUGGAUGAGUUAAGAGGUGCCUUUCACCCCCGACCCAAAAAACUUUAAAAUAGGCAAGACAGUUUAGCUACAGCAUUCUAUCAUUAAAUACCCAUCUCAUAGAGGACUGUAGGCGGAGAAAGUGUGAAAAAUCAGGUCAAGUGUAUCCCCUUAGUACAAGAUUUUAAAACAACACCCUAACAAUUAUUACUUGCCCAUAAUUUGUAUGUUCCUAAAAGCAUCAUGCUGACAGUACAGGGUGAAGUUCUAGUUUUGAUUUAGAUUCCACUUGGGGUUUAGUUUAGUGAUCCAUCCUUGCCCCUUUGGCAUGUAAGCUCUUGCAGAAAAGGGUCUUAGACGUUUUCUAAGUUUUAUAUUUUGGGCAUUACCUAUGCCUGUUACUAACAUCACCAGCCUUGCUCUUAAUGUAGGUGUCUUUAUUCAGAGUUAAGUGUGUGUUACAGUUCCUCUAGUAUAGGAAGUAUCUUUCUCGAUCCUGAGGUGUUUCUUUGAUUUGCAGAAUGAAGAAUUGAGAAGAGGUAAUAGCAACAGCGUGAUCUUUUGUUGGAACACCACUGAGCCCUGGUCCAGAGCUAAAUGAUGUGCUGUUCAACUUUGUUUCCCGUCAGAAACGUAUUGAUUCAAAACCUGGACCUAAUGGUUGUAACUAACUGCAUCUUUAGAACACAGGAAAUCUCAGGAAGUCAUUAAUGGUGUUAGAAGGCCUCAGACUUGAAGCUAAAGACGAGCAACUGCAACCUGUUCCUUUAUGCUGGUGAGAGCUGAAACGAGGACUCAGUGCAGCCAGCACUGGCUAGGACCCUCCUCGGUGACACACUGUGCUGGCCGUGGCCGAGCCUGCAGACUUGGGUGAUACGGAUGCUGCUGACCAGAGACCACACUUUGAGACCCACUGACUUUGAGGAAGUGAUGCUUGAAUUGAGCGUUUUGGGCUAAGAAUUUGGGCAGAUACGUGGGUGAAGGCUGCAAAAUUCUUAGUGGAAGCUAUGGCAUGAACAAAGGAAAAUCUGGCAGCAGGACUAGCCAACACCAAUUGAUUACCAGUCUGCCUGGAGAGCUGUGUUGAGAAGGAUCCUGAAGCUGAGAAUGGACCCAGCACUGUGCUGGGGUCUGUGUAAGAUUCAGCCAUGGAAAACAAUUUUGAAGUCUCUCUCUCCUUGGGCGUUUGGAAUUUAAAAUGGAUUUUCACAGGAGCUAAGUCACGUGAGCUGGAGAGUGUGGAAACCUACUUCUUUCGGAACCUGAAACCUACCUCCAUUGCUUGUGGUAAGAUUAAUCCGGUGGCGUCCACUCACUUGCCAAAGGCUCUCAAAUACAAGGGAAACGAACGCGAAGUAACAACACAGAGACAGCGUCGCUGGGACUUGUGCGGCGCUGGGAGACGUGCCAACUGGGAGACUUGACACCUUCUCGUGCCUGACCCGGAGGCUUCCACUAUCCCUGCAGGACUGGCUGGCACCGCGUGUUGCCCUCGUUUUAAUAUCCUAGAUCCUCAGGGUCCCCAGGUCAGAGGUGGAGCCACAGAGGAGAGAAGGAACAGUGAGAUGAAGACUUAACUCCCCGGAGAGGGUCGUCCUAAAACCAUCUGCCCAAAACGAACGAGGAAGACGCCAAGAGGACACAGUCCUAGGCUCAGCUUUUCCACAAAUGAUGCAACUCCAGGCAAGUCGCUUUCCCUCCCUGGGCCUUCGUUCCCUCAUCCGUACAACGGGGACAAUGCCGGCGUCCCCACCCAGGGUUGUGGUGAGGAUGGAAUGCUCCCAGGUCCUGAGAAACUGAAGCACUGGGCGAGCACUGCUCAGCUCUUGUCUAAUGGGACUUGGCCCCGCUCGUAUCCCUGGUCCCUCUGCUCUAUGUGGAAAGGGCCAGCCUAGCUCAUCUCUGGGGAGCCCUUGCUCUGCGUUCUGAGCCACCUGCAGUCCCCGCAUCCCGGGCACAGGCACCCCAACCCCGACCUGUACUCGGCUCCCCAGCCCUUGACGAAGCUCAUGCGGAUGGUGCACAUCCGGGUCAGCUGGUACACGGCCUCGAAGCCCUGGUUGACAGACUGAGCCAGGAGGGCGGCAAACUCCUGGUUGUUGAAGAUCUUCAGGUUGCAUCCUGCCAACAGAACAAAAACAGUGCUCGUGGGGACGAAGAGUGCACUUGUCCGGAGCUCCUCUCCCGGCUAAAGCCCCCGCCCGCCCAGCUGAGAGGCUACCCGGCCUGCCGUGCCAACAGGAGCUCGGCAGAGGGUCCUGGGCACCUUCCACCUGGGCUCCUCCAACAAAUCCACCUCUGCCCGGGCCAGGAGGGAGCGAGAGAUCUGGGCCACACCUUGGCCUCUGGGCACAAGGCUGGGGUGGGGUGACAUUCUCGGCAAAGUGAAGGUGUGUACCUACUCCAGGCAUAAAACCAGAGACAGGCACACAUAAAGUUUACAGUAAAUCUCUUGUUCGAAGUCCUACCGCCUGAGUGCCAGGAAUGUGUCAAUCAGAAAAAUAAAAGACAAAAAAAAGCACAUGCCGAAAAUGCCCAAAAGGUGAGCUGAGAUGACACUAACGGGCCACCACUGUGCCCCUUGGCUUGCUGCGUGACUCUGGGCUGGUCACUUUCUCUUCUAAGCCUGUGUCUCCCUUGUGAAAGGAGAGGCUGGCCUCAGAGGCCUCCCCAGCUCUGACAUUCCAUGAGAUAACAUCCAGCACCGCAGCCAGCUCUGCCCGAACCAGAGAGAGGGAGAGGGCGGGGCCGGGGCAUGGGCAGAAAGCCAAGUGCGCAUCUGGACUUCCUCUUCUCAUUUUCUCUGAGGGGAAGAGGGGUGAAGCAGGGCCCAAGGUGGGUUCCGGUCCCCCGCCCAGCAAGCAGCAGAGGAGCACACAGCCCUAGGCUCAUCCUGGCUCGGCCACUUACUAGCUGUGUGUCCUUUGCAGGUAGCCUGACCUCUCUGAACUUGUCUCCUCAGCAUGCCUCCUCGCCCGAAGAGCUAGAAUAACUGGUGAGGACUAAGUGAGCCCCAAGACAGCCGUGUGCUCUGUAAACGCAACCACACGACGUUCCAGAAAUGGAGAGCACCACGAGCAUCUCAAACGCUUUGCAUUCUUAAGUGGAUCCAGCCCAUGACCCACCGCUCCACCAUCACCUGCUACUUAGUGAGCAGGAAGACAUGCCACACACAUGCCACAGGCAAUGGACUGAGCCACACACUCUACCCACCGGGCAUAGUCCACACUCUGCGGCUGCGUGCCCUGGAAGAAGUGGGCUUCGGCGGGGGCUUCCUGCCUCAGCUUUCUAAAUAAAGAGGCCUUGGAUGAGAUCAGCCACCUGCCUGGUCAUCUACCCAGGCCUGGCCCUGUCCAAGCCACCCUCUGGGGUGAGCCUGCCACCCCUUGGAGUACAGGUGGGAUUCGUAGCCCUACUCAGAAAACCCUCAACAGUCCCCCUGAAUAAAAGCAAAACUUUCUCAUGCCCUUCCA